AACAGAUAAAGGUUGACAUUUGCACUCCUAAGCUCCUCUGCUAUUAAAAUUUCUCAAAUUUUGCCUGAAGAACUUGCUGAAGUCUCCCGUCUUCAGCACUGUGUUCUUAGAUAUCUGGAAAUCAGAGCAAAGAGUUGGCAGAAGUCUUUGCUAUAACAGCAGAUAAUACUGUAAAGGAUAAAAUAAAAGGCCAAGAAGAGGAAAGAAUGAAAACUAUGAAAAUACAAGACCACAAGGAUGUUGGAUGUUCAAGGUUUUCUGAAGCAGUGUUGUAUUUCUUAACUGUAAUGAAAAAAUCCUGAAGUGCAAUUCCUCCCUUUUUUCCUCUAAACUCUCUGGUUUUGGAUGAAAUAAAUUGCUGUGUGGAAUAAUUCUCCAAGAGUGUUUCAGAGCCUCAGUUAAAAUAUGAGAAUGGAAGUUCAUGUGGUAGGGCUUCAUUUUGCAGACAGGCAAACCGCUAGCAGCUUGAUUCAGAAGUUUGAGGAGUUUCUAUGCUUGGCAAGAUGCCUUGAAGAAGCUGUUAUUGGUCUACCUGAAUUUUCAUUCUUCUUUGAAACCUGGGUAACCAUCCAUGAGUCACAGGAAAUCCACAAUGAGUUGUGGGAAACACAUUUCUUAGGUAGCAGGAGAGAAGGGGACCUAGACUACACCUCAAUAAAUCAG
rnacentral:lncRNA from 1 species